CAACAACAGUCGGUAGGCUGUCU
rnacentral:piRNA from 1 species